CAGAUGGAAGCACAGAGUUAGAAGAAACUAGGAGUAUUAGUGUCAAAUGGCAUUUGCUCAGAGGAGGCAGAGUGCUCCACUUUGGGACUCCUUGCUCCAAGGGUGAAAAGAAUAUAAUCCAUGGACCAUGUCUAUGGCCACUUGUUCUCCAGCUAGCCAAAGGCAAAGAAAAGAACCAAAAUAAAGUGAAGAUUUUACCAAGAAAAA